GACGAAUGCUGGCGGCGUGCCUAAUACAUGCAAGUAGAACGCUGAAGGAGGAGCUUGCUCUUCUGGAUGAGUUGCGAACGGGUGAGUAACGCGUAGGUAACCUGCCUGGUAGCGGGGGAUAACUAUUGGAAACGAUAGCUAAUACCGCAUAAGAGUAGAUGUUGCAUGACAUUUGCUUAAAAGGUGCAAUUGCAUCACUACCAGAUGGACCUGCGUUGUAUUAGCUAGUUGGUGGGGUAACGGCUCACCAAGGCGACGAUACAUAGCCGACCUGAGAGGGUGAUCGGCCACACUGGGACUGAGACACGGCCCAGACUCCUACGGGAGGCAGCAGUAGGGAAUCUUCGGCAAUGGACGGAAGUCUGACCGAGCAACGCCGCGUGAGUGAAGAAGGUUUUCGGAUCGUAAAGCUCUGUUGUAAGAGAAGAACGAGUGUGAGAGUGGAAAGUUCACACUGUGACGGUAUCUUACCAGAAAGGGACGGCUAACUACGUG
rnacentral:rRNA from 1 species